rnacentral:rRNA from 1 species
AUUGAACGCUGGCGGCAGGCCUAACACAUGCAAGUCGAACGGUAACAGGAAGAAGCUUGCUUCUUUGCUGACGAGUGGCGGACGGGUGAGUCAUGUCUGGGAAACUGCCUGAUGGAGGGGGAUAACUACUGGAAACGGUAGCUAAUACCGCAUAAUGUCGCAAGACCAAAGAGGGGGACCUUCGGGCCUCUUGCCAUCGGAUGUGCCCAGAUGGGAUUAGCUAGUAGGUGGGGUAACGGCUCACCUAGGCGACGAUCCCUAGCUGGUCUGAGAGGAUGACCAGCCACACUGGAACUGAGACACGGUCCAGACUCCUACGGGAGGCAGCAGUGGGGAAUAUUGCACAAUGGGCGAAAGCCUGAUGCAGCUAUGCCGCGUGUAUGAAGAAGGCCUUCGGGUUGUAAAGUACUUUCAGCGGGGAGGAAGGGAGUAAAGUUAAUACCUUUGCUCAUUGACGUUACCCGCAGAAGAAGCACCGGCUAACUCCGUG